AUUGCUGACCCUGGCCUCCCUGACUGGCAUGUGGUGGAGGUGGAGGUGACCGGCCCGUCCGGCGAGCGCAGGGACCAGGCCUUCACGGUCACCACCAGCCGCAGGAACCCAGCCUCCCCCGGCGCUGUCACCGGGGCGGCAACUUUCCCUUCUUUCUGGAGCAGCCUGCUGGCCUGCCAGGGCCACCGAGGGCAUGUCGUUUUGUGCUGAUGCUGGUUUGGGGCCGGAGGGACCCGGCUGAAGCCAGUGGGGCUGGUAGUGUGUGUUGCUGGAGGGGGGGGUGUCCCCUCUGACUAAGAGAUCAUUAAAGAGCCGGGUGGCAGGGAGGAAGGGCGGGAAACCUUUCAAACUUGGUCCCAGAGGCAUGAUGGGGGGUGUAGUUCUUGCUCCCCGGAGCUGAGUGGGCGUCACCGGGUAUGUAACCCCCUCCUGCAGAGACUGAUGUCGGCUGUUGCUUUUGGGUUAUGACGGGAACGGUACAGUAGAACCUCAGCAUUAUGAACACCCGAGUGAUGAACUGACCGGUCAACAACACCUAGGGUGACCAGAC